rnacentral:rRNA from 1 species
GACGAACGCUGGCGGCGUGCUUAACACAUGCAAGUCGAACGGAAAGGCCCUGCUUUUGUGGGGUGCUCGAGUGGCGAACGGGUGAGUAACACGUGAGUAACCUGCCCUUGACUUUGGGAUAACUUCAGGAAACUGGGGCUAAUACCGGAUAGGAGCUCCUGCUGCAUGGUGGGGGUUGGAAAGUUUCGGCGGUUGGGGAUGGACUCGCGGCUUAUCAGCUUGUUGGUGGGGUAGUGGCUUACCAAGGCUUUGACGGGUAGCCGGCCUGAGAGGGUGACCGGCCACAUUGGUACUGAGAUACGGCCCAGACUACUACGGGAGGCAGCAGUGGGGAAUAUUGCACAAUGGGCGGAAGCCUGAUGCAGCAACGCCGCGUGCGAGAUGACGGCCUUCGGGUUGUAACCCGCUUUCGCCUGUGACGAAGCGUGAGUGACGGUAAUGGGUAAAGAAGCCCCGGCUAACUACGUG